rnacentral:lncRNA from 1 species
GAACGAACUACGCGAACCUGAUUCUCAUCCCGGUGAGAUACGUAGGCAACCCGUCUUGGGUUCGGUAUUCAUUUCUUCAAAUUUCAAAAAAAAAUUCAAAUAAAAACAAAUCAAAUAGUUUAUGCAUAUUUUCAAAGACAUAUCUGCAUGAACUACGCACACCUGAUUCUCAUUUUGAUGAGAUACGUAGGCAACCCUUCUUGGGUUCGGUAUUUAUUCAUUCUUUAAAAAAAAAUAAAAAUCAUUUUGUACAUAUUG